rnacentral:rRNA from 1 species
CCUACGGGAGGCAGCAGUGGGGAAUAUUGCACAAUGGGGGGAACCCUGAUGCAGCAACGCCGCGUGGGUGAAGAAGUACUCCGGUAUGUAAAGCCCUGUCAGCAGGGAAGAAAAUGACGGUACCUGACCAAGAAGCCCCGGCUAACUACGUGCCAGCAGCCGCGGUAAUACGUAGGGAGCAAGCGUUAUCCGGAUUUACUGGGGGUAAAGGGAGCGUAGACGGCAAGGCAAGUCUGGAGUGAAAGCCCGUGGCUCAACCACGGGACUGCUUUGGAAACUGUGUUGCUGGAGUGCAGGAGGGAUAAGCGGAAUUCCUAGUGUAGCGGUGAAAUGCGUAGAUAUUAGGAGGAACACCGGUGGCGAAGGCGGCUUACUGGACUGUAACUGACGUUGAGGCUCGAAGGCGUGGGGAGCAAACAGGAUUAGAUACCCGGGUAGUC